rnacentral:rRNA from 1 species
AAUGAACGCUGGCGGCAGGCCUAACACAUGCAAGUCGAACGAAGCCUUCGGGCUUAGUGGCGGACGGGUGAGUAACGCGUGGGAACAUACCCUUUGGUACGGAAUAGCCUCGGGAAACUGGGAGUAAUACCGUAUGUGCCCUUCGGGGGAAGAUUUAUCGCCAAAGGAUUGGCCCGCGUUGGAUUAGGUAGUUGGUGGGGUAAUGGCCUACCAAGCCGACGAUCCAUAGCUGGUUUGAGAGGAUGAUCAGCCACACUGGGACUGAGACACGGCCCAGACUCCUACGGGAGGCAGCAGUGGGGAAUCUUAGACAAUGGGCGCAAGCCUGAUCUAGCCAUGCCGCGUGAUCGAUGAAGGCCUUAGGGUUGUAAAGAUCUUUCAGAUGGGAAGAUAAUGACGGUACCAUCAGAAGAAGCCCCGGCUAACUCCGUGCCAGCAGCCGCGGU